rnacentral:rRNA from 1 species
AACGAACGCUGGCGGCAUGCCUAACACAUGCAAGUCGAACGAUUGCCUUCGGGUGAUAGUGGCGCCCGGGUGCGUAACGCGUGGUAAUCUGCCCUUAGGUUCGGAAUAACAGCUGGAAACGGCUGCUAAUACCGGAUGAUAUCGCGAGAUCAAAGAUUUAUCGCCUGAGGAUGAGCCCGCGUUGGAUUAGGUAGUUGGUGGGGUAAAGGCCUACCAAGCCGACGAUCCAUAGCUGGUCUGAGAGGAUGAUCAGCCACACUGGGACUGAGACACGGCCCAGACUCCUACGGGAAGCAGCAGUGGGGAAUAUUGGACAAUGGGCGCAAGCCUGAUCCAGCAAUGCCGCGUGAGUGAUGAAGGCCCUAGGGUUGUAAAGCUCUUUUAACCGGGAAGAUAAUGACUGUACCGGGAGAAUAAGCCCCGGCUAACUCCGUG